rnacentral:rRNA from 1 species
UACGUAGGUGGCAAGCGUUGUCCGGAUUUAUUGGGUUUAAAGGGUGCGUAGGCGGUUCUGUAAGUCAGUGGUGAAAUACAAUAGCUCAACUAUUGAGGUGCCAUUGAUACUGCGGAACUUGAGUACAGACGAGGUAGGCGGAAUUGACGGUGUAGCGGUGAAAUGCUUAGAUAUCGUCAAGAACACCGAUAGCGAAGGCAGCUUACUAGACUGUAACUGACGCUGAGGCACGAAAGUGUGGGGAUCAAACAGG